GAUCAGAAAUUUGGGUCAAAGAGUUUGAUUCGCAGUGAAACAGCUCAUCUGAUUCAGUCACGUCACCCAUCGGUUUUGGUGUCUGUCUAGUAGGGCUGGGUGUAUAAGUUUAUCAUGAUAUAUUUUUUUUCAUAUCAGUCUAUAUCGAUAUAUAUAACGAUAUAAAAAAUCACAUUUAACAGCGCUGAUUAGCUAUUGAUAAGCUAUUGCAUCUGUGAGGUCUUUGUGUCUCUUUGACGUUUUGUUGUAAGGUGUCGCACUUGAGACAUGGCAGAAUGCCUGUUAGAAAGCCCAUGUUCAGGUGUUUUCAAGUAAAUACUUUUUCAGUAUUUACUAACUGUUCAGACAGUUUGUGAAUUUCCUCGAACCUGUUUUUACCCAAUAUUCACCUUUACAUCCUGGGUUUAUUGUGUGUAAAUGCCAGAAGUGAGUUUUAUGAUACUUCACUGUCCAAGUUGGAUGCUAUAUUGUGUGAAUGUAUUGUUUACCGUGAAGAUGGCUAAUGCGGUCUCAUGCUACUCGAUGUACAUGUUAUGUAUGGUGUGAGCUGUACUCAUUGUUCCUUUAUAUCGUUUUCUGCCGAACUACAGUCAAAUAAAUCCACCACUAAACUGGACAUCUGUAUCCAUGUCUUUUAACAGGGACACACCCUUUCCUCCUUUUUAGUGCAGACUAACGAAGAAGCAGAUUGACCAUGGUUUAUAUCGACAUUGAGGGAAAUUAAUUUUUGAUAUAUAUUAUCGUUUUAUCGCCCAGCACUACAGUCUAGGUUGGGCGCUAGAUUGGAAAUGCUGACCCUAGCUUUCAGUCGACCAUAGCUCCCUCUCUGACAGCUUUAGUAUGCGUGCCUGUCUGUGAAAUCAACCAUGGCUCUCACACUCAUGAGCUUCAUAUCUUAAACUCAUUAAAGCUCCUGUCAGGAACUUUCAGUCUUUGUUUUGGCACCCCUUGUGGACAAAGCAGUUUUGACUCAUCAUGCUUGAGUUAAAAAUCUCUCACUGCCCACUUUUAAACAGACUUUAAAAUAUUAUAUUCCACUUCUAUCAAGUCUUUUCUGCUAUAUGCUAGACUGCAGCUUUUAAAAACACUUUCUAGCUUGAGAUAAAUGGACAGAUCAACUUAAAGUAGACGAACAACCAAAAGAGCAAUACAAGAUGUCGAGUAGCUUCCGGGUGUUUCUGCAGAACUUCCACUCUGCCACGACCUGAUGUAAAGACAGACUACAAAAACGCAAAAGAGGCAAUUAGAGUCACAAGAGUGUUACUAUCCUGUUGGAGGGAUAAUAGUCACAGGAACAAAGCCGGACAUAAUCAAAGACUAGGCAGCUUGCUGAAAGUUGAAUUGAAAAGAGUUCAGUCUGGAUUUAAAGACUCAGACGGAGUCCAGCUGUCUGGUAUCUGCGGGGUGGUUGUUUCAGAUGAUACUGUUAGUGAUAGUCCAGAGUCUGGAGCCUGCUGCGUCUUUCUUAACUUAGAUACCGCAAGAGGAUCGCUGUAUUCUGAGAGCUGCACAGAAAAGUCUGGAUGAAUAUUAAAGUCUUAAGAGAUAAUUAUGCUGUGUGACGCCUUUUUUAAUGUUCUGAAACUUAUCAAAAGUAACUUAUGGUCCAUACUGACAUGGAUAAGGAGUCAAUGAUGCCACCUUGUCAAAGACUAUUACUGCAGGAAUCCAGCUAACAUCUCAUCCUCUAUUACAGGCAUGGGAUAAAAGGUUGGCCCAGCAGCUUGAGGGGCAAGGGGCAAGAGGCACUUCAUAGAAGAAAGGCUGACCGCUCCAGGACAAAAACCUCUCUGAAAAACUCUCUAAGGUUAGCAGCGUUUUUCAAAACUUGUCUGAAACUGCUCAAGAGUCUGAGGAAACCUUUACUGAGGUUCUGAAACACUCAGGUAAAUUCAUCACAGACAGGAGUGAUGAUUUUCUUAUCGUGGGACCACUUUUAACCUGUACAGGGGACUAAUAACAGUUUAUCAUGUAAACAGCCACAUGGUGUGGUUUUUGUGGCCUCUAUCAGGUUUUAACAUAAAAAUAAGGAUUUCAAGACCACCUCAGAUAGAUUAAAAUAUGCAUUACACUCAUUUACCUUGAGUCUAGUCUUUGUGAGCAUGUGAGCAUGGACACAAAGUAGGAACAUGUUACAGCGGUGGCAGAAAGGGCAGACCAGAUUUGGUGCACCAGAACACCGAUAAUCAUUGAGGCAGUGUGGGAGUGUGAGGGAGGAAGAGAGGAGAGGGAAGCUUGUUGCUUCGCCUCUAAAUUUCACAUAUGAGACAGGAAUACUGAUUGCCUCUUAACAUUGGCGGUGCGUUGUUUUGCCUCAGUGCAGUUACUUAGUCCUAAAAGAGGAGUCCUAUCAUUAGGCGAAGACUUUAGCAUGUUGACUGGCAGACACUGACAGGAAGGCAGCCCUCAUUUGUGAUUCUGAAGGCGUCUGUGUGGCCUAAGAAGCAAGCACAGCUGGGGAGUGACUCGAAAGCAGAUUAUCACUUUCAUCCCCUCCAAAAUCUUUGAAGCUAUGCAACAGUAGGCACAGUCCUUGAACCAGGGACGCAAGAGGUAGCCCUAAAAAUGAGAGAAUCCAGUCUGCUUUGUAUGCAGUCCAAGUAUUCCUGUGAGGAAAUGUAAAUUCAGAUGCACAAGUCGGCAUCAAUAUUCAAGUCAAUGC
rnacentral:lncRNA from 1 species